GACGAACGCUGGCGGCGUGCCUAAUACAUGCAAGCCGAGCGGAUGGAAGGAAGCUUGCUUCCUAAAGUCAGCGGCGGACGGGUGAGUAACACGUGGGCAACCUGCCCCUAAGAUCGGGAUAACUUCGGGAAACCGGAGCUAAUACCGGAUAUGAUUAUGUCUCACAUGAGACAUAAUGGAAAGACGGUUUCGGCUGUCACUUAGGGAUGGGCCCGCGGCGCAUUAGCUAGUUGGUGAGGUAACGGCUCACCAAGGCGACGAUGCGUAGCCGACCUGAGAGGGUGAUCGGCCACACUGGGACUGAGACACGGCCCAGACUCCUACGGGAGGCAGCAGUAGGGAAUCUUCCGCAAUGGACAAAAGUCUGACGGAGCAACGCCGCGUGAGUGAAGAAGGUUUUCGGAUCGUAAGACUCUGUUGUUAGGGAAGAACAAGUACCAUAGUAACUGAUGGUACCUUGACGGUACCUAACCAGAAAGCCACGGCUAACUACGUGCCAGCCGCCGCAGUAACAC
rnacentral:rRNA from 1 species